AUGGCUCAAGUGCUACCUGGCUGUGUUAAUGAUUGAGCAAUAAUUUGUGAAGUUUUUUCUUUGCUUUUCCAAAUUACAACAGGAAAAUAUCCUAUGCAAAUUAUAAAUGGGUCUGCAAACACGUUUUGAUCAUUAUUUGGAAGGAGCUAGGUGAGAUUUUUUGGAAGCCAGACUGUUUCUCAUGUGCCCGUGAAACAAAAGGCCCAAGGCCAAACCACAAAGUGACAGUUUACUUUACCUAGAGAUAAGCUAAAUAUAUAGUUCAAAAGCCACACAAACGUCUCGUCUCUGGGUGCUGACAUUAGGCUACUGCAAGCAAAAACGCUUAAACUUCCCAUUCAUUUUGGUCAUUGGCAAAAACAAUGGAAUUAUUUGCAAAAAAACAAAAACAGAACCAAAAAAAAAACCAAAAAUUAAAAACAAAAUGAGGCUGGAUUCAACUUUUUUUUCUGGUGAGAAAAUCUAAACUUCCAAAAGACCAAGUGAGUGAAUCAAAGGCAUACAGCUAACCAGGGCAGUCUCCAUGGUGUGCAGUCUCUUCAGUGACUACCAUUCACACUCAAACUCCUCGGUGAGGUGCAACUUGAUCAGCAGUCAUAAUGGAAUUGAAGUUGUGAAGGCCUGCAGAAUGCGUGGUCCAUCAUCAUGACAACAGGGUGGAGCCACCAGUUGGGGACCAAGAGUGUUCAGAUACCUAAGCCUGUGGAGGACAUCACAUUCUAACUGCCACAGAAGACACAGAUUUCUAAAGACAUAAG